CUACGGGCGUGCUCCAGUGAGGAAUUUUGCGCAAUGGGGGCAACCCUGACGCAGCAACGCCGCGUGAGUGAAGAAGGCCUUUGGGUCGUAAAACUCUGUCAAUGGGGAAGAAGUUACUACGGUUAAAUAGAUUGUAGUAUUGACGGUACCCAUGAAGGAAGCACCGGCUAACUCCGUGCCAGCAGCCGCGGUAAUACGGGGGGUGCAAGCGUUAUUCGGAAUUAUUGGGCGUAAAGGGCACGCAGGCGGUCUUGCCAGUCAGAUGUGAAAGCCCGGGGCUCAACCCUGGAAGUGCAUUUGAAACUACAAGACUUGAGUACGGUAGAGGAAAGGGGAAUUCCUGGUGUAGAGGUGAAAUUCGUAGAUAUCAGGAGGAACACCGGUGGCGAAGGCGCCUUUCUGGACCGAAACUGACGCUGAGGUGCGAAGGCGUGGGUAGCGAACAGGAUUAGAUACCCUCGUAGUC
rnacentral:rRNA from 1 species